GGGAGGAAUCCGAGGAGAUCACUCGGGUCGCUGACACGUUCCACGUGCGCUGGCGCCCGCGUCGUCGGGCUAUUGCGGAUUCGGUGGCCAGCACGUUGGGAACCGCCGUCGGAGCACGUGGUCGAUGCUCUCCCGGUCGAUGACGCUUUACGCCACGGCAUGACCGUGGGCGAGAAGAUGAUGCGGCGGAUUCCCCAAGGGGGCGAUCGGAAGUGGGUGGCGUCUCGCCAUGUCGAACUUUUCUUGCCAACGAGGUUUUCUUUCCUUCUCGUUUUUGCCCCCUUCAAUUUGAGCCUUUUACGCUCGUUUCUUGUGUUUCCUCGAUUAAUUUUGAGUCACUCCCUUCCUAUUUAUAUUUUCCGCCAAUGAUCUUUUAGUUUUACUGUUUGUAACUCAAGUCUUAAAUCAAUAUAAUCGUUUCUCCCGUUAAGAAAAUUUUGUAAGACUUUGUGGAGUCAACGGGCUAAAUUAGUUAUUCUUAAUAUUUUGAUUCUUAUACUUUAAAAAAUUACAUCGAUAUCUUUAUAAUUAUAAAAAUAAAAUAUUUAAAUUUAUUUAUGAUAAUAUCAUUAGUAAAAAUAAAAGAUAAAAAAUAAUUUUAAAACCAGUUGAUAGUAGCAGAUGAUGUCAAAAUGACGAUAUCAUCGAGGGUUAUGACUGAUUGUUGUGGAUGAGUAAAACAACGAUGAGAGGUGAGGGUUAUUUCUACAUAUGUGUCAACAUCGAUGUAAUCAUCGAGUGACAUCACUUUAUAUUUAUAUUGGCAUCGAUAUAGUUACCGAGCGAUAUCGCUCUGCAUCAUUGAUCCUGAUCCUUUCAUCAUUAGGUAUCUACAACAACGUUGAUGCAGAUGCAAAGCGAUUAUCAUCUCUCGUUGUCGCUUUUCUCAUCUACAUCACCCACCCACGAUCCCCAACGUCGUUGUUGUUUGCUAUUGUUGACGACGUCCGUCCCUGCAAACUAAAAUAUUAAAAUUAUUUUUUAUCUUUUAUUUUUAUAUAUCUAUUGUUAAAACUGAUUAUGUUAUGGUAAAUAUACAUAACUAUUUCAUUUUGGAUUGAUGUCAAUGUAAUUUUUUUUAGUAUAAUGAUCAAAAUACUAAAAUCAAUUAAUUAUAUGAGAUGAUGCGUAAUUAGUCCACCAUCAAUACUUAGUUUCGAUGUAUGGUAAACCAUUAAUCUUUUGCACACUGGUGCCGACAAAACCUGUUUGUGUUCAGAUCUACACUACUCUAGAGAUGAGAGAUGAGAUCUUUCCUGGUCACGCUUUGGUGCGAAUCCUGGCGAAUCUAAUCAUGCUGCAGGGGUGAGGAUGUCAGCUUUCAGAUGCAAAUGCAUCGGUGGCACCAUUUAGCACGGCUGAACGAAGACGAAGUCUUUCGAGGUCACGCAAAAGAGACGCUGGCGCGAGAUGGAAGGUGCUGAGUAAGGCAUGAGAUCGAUGGAAUCAAUGGCCAAGAUCGCUUGGGCGUUCUUUCGUUGGAGCACGGUGUUGUUGUUCUCGUUCGAGUCACGGACACGAUGCAUAGUUCUAUAUGAAAUAGCAGAGAUUGGUGGACUGAGUUACUCGAGUUGUCUCUGAGGAUUGGCAGGGAGACUGUUUGUCCCGGCGUAUGGAUUGGGUCCCGCAAAGAUGGUGAGUCUCGAGAUGGACGAGUAAAAUAUGUGUCCAUAUGUAAUUGGAACUAUAUUACUAUAUUAGCAGUCGGAAUAUAAGCA
rnacentral:lncRNA from 1 species